ACCGAUUGCGAAGGCAGCUUGCCAAACCAGCACUGACGCUGAAGCACGAAAGCGUGGGGAGCGAACAGGAUGAGAUACCCUGGUAGUCCACGCCGUAAACGUUGCUCACUCGCUGUUGGCGAUAGACAGUCAGCGGCCAAGGGAAACCGAUAAGUGAGCCACCUGGGGAGUACGGCCGCAAGGUUGAAACUCAAAGGAAUUGACGGGGGCCCGCACAAGCGGUGGAACAUGUGGUUUAAUUCGAUGAUACGCGAGGAACCUUACCUGGGCUUAAAUUGUGAAGUGCAUUGAUUUGGAAACAAUCAUUUCCUUCGGGACCCUUUACAAGGUGCUGCAUGGUUGUCGUCAGCUCGUGCCGUGAGGUGUCGGGUUAAGUCCCAUAACGAGCGCAACCCCUAUUGUUAGUUACCAGCGCGUAAAGGCGGGGACUCUAGCGAAACUGCCGGUGUAAACCGCGAGGAAGGUGGGGAUGACGUCAAAUCAGCACGGCCAUUAUGUCCAGGGCUACACACGUGUUACAAUGGCCAGGUACAGCGGGCAGCUAGGCAGCGAUGUCAUGCUAAUCCCGAAAGCCGGUCCCAGUUCGGAUUGGAGUCUGCAACCCGACUCCAUGAAGGUGGAUCGCUAGUAAUCGCGCAUCAGCCAUGCGCGGUGAAUACGUUCCCGGGCAUGUACACACCGCCCGUCAAGCCAUGGAAGUCUGGGUGCCUGAAGCCCGUACCGCAAGAGCAGUCUAGGGUAAACAGAUGACUGG
rnacentral:rRNA from 1 species